UUGUUCAUCCUUUCAGAUAUGAAGUUGGUGGGUGAUUGAUGAAUAAAAAUCACCAACUGCCUGAAAUACAUGGGAGAUGGGGCGUCAUUCUUCGAAAAUUGAAGGGGAUUUAUUGAACUCUGUAUCUGAAACUACUGGUGUACUAUAUGAUGGCUAAUUGAACUGAAAUAAAAAUAAUAAUAAAGUGUACAACAUGAUGAUUUGGAAAAAAGAAAAGAAAAUUGAUGGGGAAUGACUGUAGUCAUACCAGCAGCCCCUUGAGAGGGAGCAGUAACUAUUCAGCUGCUACUGUCCUCACUAACUCGUCAUGCUUUUUUCCCAUUCUCCACAUGGAUUUCACACUAUGUGUCAAGCCUAAGUUUAGACACAGACUUGGAAUUACAGACCGUCAGAGCUGUUAGGAACCCUAGAUACUAUUUACCCAACUCAUCAUUUACAGGAAAAAAAUGGUGAGAAUUUGAGAAGUGAAGUGACUUAUUCUUGGUCAAGAGACCAAUACUUUUGUUCCCUUCUCUACUUCCCUCUCUUGUAAACCUCUCCAAAAGAGAGACCUUGUAUUAGGGUGUGACAUUAAUUGAAAAGUUGUUCAUAUGUUGAAGUCCUAAUCCCCAGUGCCUUAGGAUGUGACUACAUAUGGAGAGAGACUUUAAGAGGUAACUAAGGUUCAGUGAGGUUGUAAGGUUGGGGCCCUCAUCCAAUAUGAUUGGUGUGCUGAUCAGUAGAGCAAGAGACAUCAGGGAUGCAUGUCCACAGAGGAAAGACCAUGUGAGGACACAGCAAAAAAGAGCUGUCUGCAAGCCAAGGAGAAAGGUCUAAGCACAAACCAAACCAGCCAAAACCUUGAUCUUGGACUUCUAACCUCCAUAAGGGUGAGAAAAUAAAUUUCUAUUGUUAAAAUCACCUGUUAAAAUACCUCCUAAAUCUGUGGUAUUUUGUUAUGGCAUCGCAAGCAGACUAAUACAGAGAGUUUGUGCCCCAGCACCUGGUACGGUGAUUGGAGUAGAGUACGUGUCCAAUUUACAAAGAAAGGGUGGGGCAGGGGAAGGAGGGAAGGAAACAGCGAGGAAGGAAGAAAGGAAAAGGAGUCCUUUACAGAUAGAAAUUAGUGUCCACAAAACUAAUGUCUGUGCUUGGUUGGAACAAAACUCCAAAAUGUCUAGGCUUUUCCUACUGCAGCAAAUGCUAUGACAGUUCUCAAUUCUGAAACCUGGUUAGCACUUGCUUUUGUAUGUGCUUUGCAUAUACUUUCAACCUUUAAUGUUUAUUUAUUAUUAUGCACCUGCAGGACAGUAAUUUUAUUGUUCAUGGGUCCCAAAUCUACAUAUUUGAAAUCAGCAGUUAUAACUGAAGAAAGAAAAAUAGACUUAACACCUGUGAAAUUCCUAUUUUGCUUCAAGCAGUUUAUUAAGAAAAAUGUUAUGUAUUGGACAGAAGUAGCACAGCCAGGCUACAUCUUAAAAAUUUGCACAGUUACCACAAAUUAUUUUACUCUGAUAUCUAAUCUUUUAAAGAUAGGGAUGGAAAGGAGUGAGGGAGAGAUUUAAAUAUUUGCUUUUCGUUUGGAAGUGAUAUUUUCUUUUAAGACAGAAUACUUAAAAAAGGAAAUUGUGCCCCUGGAGUCUAAAAAAUAUUCAUUUUCUUGGCAUAAGAUAAAUUGGAAUGGACUAUUGCAUUGAGAACUAUCUCCAGUACAGUGAAGUGUAGCAAACUGAUGCUCAGUGAGCCUCACUGCACAUGAAGAUGCUUCAGUCAAAUGCACUCAAGGACAGUUCUGAAAUUGUUCUUUAUUUUAUUAUUCUGAAAGAUGCCAGGUGAUAACCUAUUUAAAAUGAAUUUUUUUUAAACUAUUUCUUCCAUCUGAACAAGGGUUGGAGGAGGCUGCACUCGGCGCUUGUAGGGAUAAGAUGACAAGAGAAGACCUUGCCAGGGAAUUUGAAAAGUCAGACCUUGAUAGGCUGGCAAUUGCAUGGAUAUGGUCACCUGUUGAUUCUAUCUGUAAGGCAUCCAUGGCUCAUCCCUUAUUCCCUACUGAUUCUGUGACCCUGUGGAUACCCUAAGUGCCUGCCCGAAGGAAAACAGUAUUUCUAAAGCUAUGACCUGAUCGUCCGGACACAAUUAUGGUCCAGUAAUUAAUUUACUGUGGUAGUUGUAUCAACAUUAUGUUUUAUCCAUCAAACAAUUCAAAGGGAAAAAGAGUGUGUACCUGCAUGUGCAUAUACUUGUAUGUUUGGUUAUAUAUGUAGGUACCUGAAUACGUGUGUGUAUGCUCCUGUGUGUCUGUCUGUUUUACAGAGAGGAGACAGAGGGAAAGAGAAAACAUAAUUUGUCCUUCCAUUAAAACAUUCUCAGAUUUAUGUAUUCCCAUUCAUUUUGCAACCCCAAAACCCACCAAAACCAUUACAAAUGACUCUGGUCAAAAACUGAGUAAUGCUGGUUUUGCUACAGAAUUCUUUUUAUAUAAAUUGCAAUUUGAUUUGUAUGUAUCUCACCUUCUUCCUACCUUCCCUAACACACUUUGCUCUACUUACAACAAUCCUAUCCACUAAGACCCACGUAAACGUGGAGAAACAAAACAAAAAAUACUGAAGCAGGAGGAUGAAUGGCAGCUGACACGCAACAUUCGUGCGGGAAAUAAAAGGGAGUGGUGAGGACUGCAGCAAACUGAAGAGCAAUGCCUCUUUUAAAGUGAGCAGCAGCUACCCAGUUGCAGACGGUUCCUUUAUAAGAAUGUGGGUAGAGGCUAUCCAUAUCGUCCGAAUUAUAGGAAAAGCCUAUGAUUUGGAAGAUAUGGAUUUAAUGGGAAAAUCCCUUUUUAAGCACUGGCGAUUAAUUUCAAAUUUUUAAAAAUUCACAGAAGCUUUUCAAAAGAACACCUAGGCAAAACACAGCGUGACCCAAACAGUGAAGGAACAGAUUUAAGCUCAAGCCACCAUGUCGCCACCUCUGAAAUGCACAUUCAUUCAACAUGUACUGCCUUAUGUCACCUCUUAUUACUGUCUAAAACAUGCAAACACACUCUGCAGCCAACCUGGCAGGACUGGAAUUCAUCCACCCUCAGUGUGGCCUUGGGCAACCUCUCUGUGCCCCCCUUUCCUCCUUUGUGCAAUGCAGAUUAGUAACAGGGUUGUUAGGAAGGUUAACUGAGGUCCUAUUGGUACUGCAACUAGAAUAAAGGCACAAGGUAACUAAUCACUGUAAGGUAGUUACUAUUAAAUCUUACAUUGUUGUAUUAUAAUUCACUGGAUUCCUUCCCUGCCUCCUUCCUGGCUAGACUUUAAAAUGCCUCAGAGGUAUCUGUUUAUACAAUAUGACGAUGCUUAACAUGGUUUCUUUUAAGAAAAGGAUCUCAGUAUAUUUUGAAGCCCAAAAUAUAGUAGAAAUCUUAAAAGGAGAUUUAAAGAAAUUGACUGAAAAUCAAGGUUAAGCUGCUGCUUGUCCUUGCCUUUGUUCUAUGUAUUUAAAUCUACUGUAAGGCCAGCACAUUGCACCAGUCCAUGUCAGUUUGUUCUAUGAUCAGUUAUAAUGAAUGUUUUCCAAAUCCCAGACGUAUAAUUUCCUCUUUGAUACAUUCUAUCCAGUUUGCAGUACAACAGACAGGAACUAUUCAUGUCCUUUUCUUUUCUCCUUUUGAAAAGACUAGGAGAGAGUUAGGGUUAGAUAGAACAGUAGGGACAUGUAGGGCAGCCUUGUGUGGCUGGAGCCCCUGGGUCUUUCUCACCUGCCUUUACUUAAAUUGACGAAGGUUACAUCACAAAAACCUGACAGGGUGCUUGUAAAAAUGGAGCCAUUAUUAUCCUCAUUCUUUUCUUCCACUAUAAUCCUUGUUCUCUUUGAAAAUAAAGAGUAGGUUCUAGAAAGGGAGUGUUACAAAAUGGAACCCCAUAUUUCACAGCAUGAAAUUCAGAAUUCUGAGACAGAUAACACAAAUAGAGUUUUACACUAUAGACUAGGAUAAUGACUGUACCAGAGAACUUUGGGAGGUAGGCUCUAAGCAUAUAAAGUUAAAGGCAUGUCUAAGUCCAAUCUAAACUUCUCUCUUUCUCAAAUUAUAUUUAAAAUGUUGAACAUAAGCAUGUGUCACGAAGCAAUCAAAACUCUUUUCCUAAGUAUUAACGGGUCAAAAGUAGCAACAAUGGAGCAGAGCCAGAGAAAGUAAAAAUACGAGGUAAUUUAAAAUGUGCUAUUAAUACCAAGGUUUUUCAGAGGAGAAUGUUAAAGUUAACAAAAAAAAAAAAAAAAAAA
rnacentral:lncRNA from 1 species